UAAUCCUAGAGCAGGAAGGACCUCAAACUGUGGAAGAUGGAGAUGUUUCAGAAGGAUGCAACCUACCCAAAGUAAAUGGCAUAGCAGAACUGGGAAGGAGGAGCUGUGCAGUGUGCACCUACCUCUAUUUUCUAUGCUUGGCUUUGCCAGCAGCUUGGUACAGGAUCGUAUGACUGUCCUGGGUAACAUCUGUUACACAAGAGUACAGGAGAGGAAAGUGCAUUAUUUCAUUAAGGAGCAAAGGGGAGUGGUGUCUACUACAUAUAGCAUGUAGACCCUGGUUAAGGAGGAUAUCUUUAUUUGGGAAACAUAUUUAAUUCAAGAAUGUACUUAAAGAAGCAUCACUCGCUGUCUACACUGAGAAUGAUUUUGGGCCAGGAAGUGGAGAAGACCAGAGCAGGAGGACAGGUCUGGAAUAAAACCUGAGUCCCCUUUGGAAGACCUAAGGACUUCUCUGUCAUCAGCAGCUGAGGCAGCCUGAAUGCCAACAUUCUCUUUAUUGCAGUUAAUUUGUCCUUAAAGACUCCUUCAGUGAGCAGACUACGGUUGGAGCUUCUGCUUUCUUAGACAUGACCCAUUACAUCAGACCUCACUGGCAUGUGGCUCUAAUGAGCCAAGUAGCAGAUAGUCUAAGAUACUGCCAUCCAUGCCUUUUAUGCCUUUCCAGGAGGUGACUUUCCUUCAGCAGAAUUGGUGGUCGAGACCUAUACCUAUAUCUGUAUUAAGUCCAACAGGUUAACUUGCACUGCUAUGAAAGUUAGUUUAAAGAGAUGAUUGUAUUUUGAUCUAGGCUACAGGAAUGUUUCCUAUUUUGAACUACUUCCACAGCAUUACAAGUUUUGGUUUCGGCAGGCUGAAAACACUAUUCUACCUAAAGAGGGAAAAUUAAAUUUUCUUGUAUCAAGUAGCUAGGAACAGCAGUCAUGGAUCAAACCCAUGAAUGUGGCUUAACUUUUAGCACUACAAAUUCAAUUUGUUAUUUUAUCACCUGGUUUUGUUCUCGAUUUUUUCUCUAUAACAAACAUGAUCAAUAAAAUAUACAAUAACUCUG